CUUUCCGGGCAACCUAACCCUAGAUGACGGCAGUCGUUUUGCACGGUGUGACCAGUCGUUACCGCGCUGCUGUACGGUCUUGUGCAGAAUUGUUUACUAUUGGCGUUAUUCCAUCAAUUUCACAAACCAGAUAUAUGGUUUUGAGUUUUCGUGAGCAAGACAACAUCAUGGCUAUUUGACGAAAACGACGAUGUUCGUCACUAAAAUUAUUUAAUAUUCAAGAGCAAGGCAACAUCAUAGCAGUUUGACGAAAAAGACCAUGUUUUGCCAGUCAUUUAUAUAAACGUUGUCUUCGACGAGAAACCAGUUCGGUAUCGCCAUCUUUCUCGAGAUUGAGGCAACACUUGUUGCCAUAAACACCAGAACCCGAAUUCGUUGGGAGGAACUCGUGGUUGAAACCUUUGGAAUCGGGAAUUUGCAUUCACGCAUUCGUUGCCUUUCAUUAAUUCCUCGUCACACACAAGAUUAGCACUAUGGCUGUUGACUACCAACCACCUGAAUGUCUCUCAAAACCCAUCGAGGUCCCGUCCAAACUGUUGAUGGGAGCUGGUCCGUCUAAUGCGGCCGAAAAUGUUUUAAGAGCUGGAAGCUUGCCAUUGUUAGGGCAUUUACAUACUGAAUUUGUCCAGAUUAUGGAUGAUGUCAAACAAGGCAUUCAAUAUGCAUUUCAGACCAAGAAUAAUUUGACUCUUGCGAUCAGUGGCACAGGUCAUGCAGGCAUGGAAGCAGCUUUGUGUAACCUCAUCGAAAGAAAUGAUGUUGUACUCAUUGGCAUCAACGGAAUUUGGGGAGAAAGGGCAGCAGACAUGGCCAACCGGCAAGGUGCUGAUGUUAGAACUCUAACCAAAACAGCUGGGGAAAAUUUCAAGAUGGGUGAAAUUGAAGCAGCUUUAGUACAACACAAGCCAGCGAUUUUCUUUCUGGCUCAAGGAGAAUCAUCAACUGGUGUUGUCCAGCCUAUAGAGGGUGUUGGUGCACUCUGCUCCAAAUAUGGCUGCUUAUUGCUAGUUGAUGCUGUAGCCUCUCUUGGCGGCGAGCCGUUUUAUAUGGAUCGCUGGCAAGUAGAUGUUGUUUACACGGGAUCCCAAAAAGUCCUGGGAGCUCCCCCCGGCACCGCUCCCAUCUCUUUUGGCCCUCGUGCAGUGGCCAAGAUUGCCGCACGAAAGACCCCGAUAUCGUCUUUUUAUUUCGACAUGAAUUGGCUUGGCAACUAUUGGGGGUGUGAUAGCCAACCACGCAAGUACCACCACACUGCGCCCAUUUCCAGCAUCUACGCCUUGCGCGAAGCUCUUGCUUUGCUGGCCAAUGAAGGCCUGGAGAAUUCAUGGAAUCGCCAUCGUCAAUGCCGAGAUCGCCUUAUCAACGGCUUGGCUAAGUUGAACCUCAAGCCGCUGGCGUCCGACCCUGCUGCCCGUCUGACGUGCAUCACGGCAAUUCAAGUCCCAGAUGGCGUAGACUGGAAAUCCGUCACCACCCACGCCAUGUCCAUGCGUGUGGAGAUUGCCGGUGGAUUAGGCCCGACUGCUGGUCGUAUCUGGCGUGUCGGACUAAUGGGACAGAACGCCACUGAUGAACGCGUGGAUCGAGUUUUGGACGUAUUAGCCGAGUCUAUCAAGAGCUCCACCACCCCACCGGUCAUGGGUCGUCUUUGAAGCUGCCGCUAUCUCGCCACCACAUUCCCGAUAUUAUAAGAACCCAGAUCUUCCACUAGGCUCGUCUGGUGGUGGUUGGCCCGACGGAUGCCAUAAUGACUUCUCUCGUUCCCCCCCUCCCCCUUCCUUCAAGAUUCUACCUUGAACUAACUAGGAAGCCAACGCUAAUCAAUGCAAAUAAAGACGACUGCAUCUGACAAAAACGCAGAACAAAAUCAAGG
rnacentral:misc_RNA from 1 species